rnacentral:lncRNA from 1 species
UCAAAAAAAAAAAAAAAAAAAAAAGAAGAAAGAAAGAAAGAAGGAAAGAAAAAGAAAGAAAGAAAGAGAAAGAAAAGAAAGAAAGAAAGAGAAAAAGAAAUUCCACUGCAUGGAUAUACUGUAUCCACUCGUCAGUUAGUUGAUGGACAUUUGGGUUUUUUCCACUUCUUGGUAAUCAUGAAUGAUGCUGUUCUGAACAUUCAUGUUCGGGUGUUAGUAUAGCAUGGCUUCAGGUGUUAGUAUAGCAUGUCUUCAGGUGUUUGUAUAGCAUGUCUUCAUUUCUUUUAGGUCCCUAGGAAUGGAAUUUGUGAGCCACCUGAUAACUCCAUGCUUUUACCUUUUGAGGAGCUGCCAGACUCCUUUCCAAAGUUUCUGCACCAUCUUACAUUCCCACCAGCAGUGUAUGAGGGUCGCAGUUUCUCCACAUACUUGUUUUAUUUGACCUUUUGAUGCUAGGCAUCCUAGUGCAUAUAAAGUGAUAUGUCAUUGUAGUUUUUGUUUUUGGGGUUUUUUUAGACAGGGUUUCACUCCCGUCACCCAGGCUGGAGUGCAAUGGCACAAUCUCGGCUCACUGCAACCUCUGCCUCCUGGGUUCAAGUGAGUCUCCUGCCUCAGCCUCCUGAGUAGCUGGGAUUACAGGCACAGGCCACUGUGCCCGGCUAAUUUUUGUAUUUUUUUGUAGAGACGGGGUUUCACCAUGUUGGUCAGGCUGGGUUUGAAC